rnacentral:rRNA from 1 species
CUUUACUGUAGCCUGGGAUUGGCUUCGGGCGGUGCUUGCGCAGUAUAGGUGGGAGACGUUGAGAAUAUUCUUGCGGGAGUAUUGGAGUCAUCAGUGAGAUACCACUCUUGUAAUGUUAGAUUUCUAACUUUGGAUCAUUAUCUGGUCAAAGGACAGUUUCAGGCGGGCAGUUUGACUGGGGCGGUCGCCUCCCAAACGGUAACGGAGGCGCACAAAGGUUUCCUCUGAACGUGUAGAAAUCGUAUCUAGAGUGUAAAGGCAUAAGGAAGCUUGACUGUGAGACCUACAAGUCGAGCAGGGACGAAAGUCGGUCUUAGUGAUCUGACGGUGCUGAGUGGAAAGGCCGUCACUCAACGGAUAAAAGUUA